rnacentral:lncRNA from 1 species
UUACUUCGAUAUUAUGGCCAUCUUUAUUUGAUGCCUUGAUCUUCAUAUGAUUCUUUGAUAUUGCUUAUUUCUUGUUGUUUUCUAAAGUCCAAAGGAAAACGCGUUUCUAUAUGACAUUCUUGUCUGUUGGAUUGCAUCCAUUUGGUUAGAUCUUUUUAACCCUUAACUUUUAGUUAUUGUCUAAGAUAGUCUCUUCAUCUCCUCCUACUUAUUAAAUUUCAAAAU